rnacentral:lncRNA from 1 species
GGUUGUGCAGCGAAGCGACCCAGCUGCUCGGCGCAGCGGAAGCCCCUUCAAAGUCCUGCCCGCGCGGACGCCCCUUGUUGGAGAAAUUCAUCCAAGUAGCCCCUGAUUUGGCAGCGAUACCUCCCAUCGGACACCAGCUCUCCGAGGGGUGGUAAUGGGGGGACACUUCCAGCCUCCCCCAGGCCGGCGUCUUGGGAGGCUUGGUUAUUAUCUGCGGAGCUGGGGUUUGAUUCCAGACAACGCACCUUCUUAUUGCCUGUACCUGGGACAGCCAUUCCCACUGCGCCCCUCCCUUCAGCUCCCCACAGGAUGGCACUGAUUGGCAGAGAGUGUCUCCUCCAGGAUCCUCUUCAUGUCUCCUUCAAUCUAUGGCAAUUUCUCGGUCUUUCCUCGUUCUUUCUUGACCUUGACCAUUUUGAGGAAUAC